rnacentral:rRNA from 1 species
CAAUAGCGUAUAUUAAAGUUGUUGCAGUUAAAAAGCUCGUAGUUGGAUUUCGGGGCAGCCUGGCUGGUCCGCCGCAAGGCGAGUACUGGUCAGCCGCCCUUCCUCUCGAAAGCCCCGACUGCUCUUCGUUGCAGUGGUCGGGUAGUUCGGGACGUUUACUUUGAAAAAAUUAGAGUGUUCAAGGCAGGCCUACGCCUGAAUACAUUAGCAUGGAAUAAUGGAAGAGGACCUCGGUCCUAUUUUGUUGGUUCCCAGGGCCGAAGUAAUGAUUAAGAGGGACAGUUGGGGGCAUUCGUAUUUAAUUGUCAGAGGUGAAAUUCUCGGAUUUAUGAAAGACGAACAACUGCGAAAGCAUUUGCCAAGGAUGUUUUCAUUAA